rnacentral:lncRNA from 1 species
AUGACAGCGGUGCGGGGAGAGCCCUCGCGUCCCGGGGGUGAGGGUAGAGCCGGGCUCAGAGCUCAGUUCCUCCCGCAGGGCCCAGCUCCAGGCGGGCAGCCAGAGCCGGCGUCACUGAGAGGCAGCGGGCAGCUCGCCCAGCGCCAAGGAACACCCGUGCAGAAGGAGCUGCGGAGCCACAGCUGCCCCCACGGGACGUGGGCGAGUGGUAAAUCCAGGACCUGCCUUCGGCAAACGCCGGCCGCAGAGGAAGGGAAUGAGAAUCGGCCCCGCCGCCGUGGGACAGGGGACGGGGCCCCUCCGGGCGCCGGCAGCCCCGCGCUGGGCCGCGUAAAGUGCAUGGAGCCCACCUACCCCAGCGGGGCCGGGCUGCGCCCCACGCGCUGCAGGGAGGAAGAGGAGGGACCCACAGCGCCCAGAUCUCCUGGCACGGAGCCGAGCUGCGCUCCCAGCAGCAUCUUCUCCAUCAUCUCCAUCAUCAUCAUCAUCUUCUCCACGUUCUCCAUCUCCUCCCGGCCCCGUGGCAGAUAUCUGCUGAGAGAUGGUCGGCACGUCGCCCCGCGUACCAUCAUCAUCAUCAUCGUCGUCGUCGUCAUCACUCGCUUCACGGUUCUUUUUCUAUUUUUUUUCCUUUUUUUUUUUUCUUUUUUAACAUUUUUUUUUUUUAAUUCUUCUUCUUUUUUUUUUUCAUCGUCUUCUGUUUUAAAAGAGGAAAAAGCCGGCGAGGUUUUUCGCCGACGAGAGGAACCGCCCCUCAGCGCAGAGCGGAGCGGCUCGGCACCGCGCCGGGGAGCAUCCAUCCCCGGGCCACUCAAUAUGAGGGCAGCGCUGCAGCCGGCUCCUGCGCCCGUUCCCCCGGCAGCACGCGGGCUCACGCGGCGUUCCCGUUUUCUCUCGGGAGGGAGCGGGGCCGAUGGGAGCCGGCUGGAGUUUGACGGAGCCGGGGGUUUGUUUCUCGGGGCUGAUCCACGCGGCCGGCCCGGCCGUCUCGGCUAUUUACACGAAGCUUUGGGGCUAUACAAGAUUUACAUUGCCGUUUGCGCAGCUCCGGUCGUCGCGCUCUCAAACCGUCCCUUCUGGGGCGACAGAAAUCUGGAAGCUCCACGAACCUGGCAUUCCCCUUCCGGAUCAAACCCCUUUUGCCCGUUUCCUACAGAACCCAAGCCAUUGAAAGAACAAAAACAAAAACAAAACCAAGCAAAACAACCACCUCGUCCAUGCACGCAGCCCGGGCCGUGGACGUACGGACACAGGAGGAACAACCGAACCGAACCGCGCCGCCCGGAGCCCGGCCCUGCCCGCAGCUGCUGGGGAGCAGGAGCGCAGCCGGCUCCCCCGGCACCAAAGGCCGCCCCCAAACCCCCCCCGCCCCCCAUCCCGGGUCACCCCGCCUCGUCCCGUUCCUUCUCUCUCUUUUCCGCUGCGCCGUUUCUUCCCCCGCCGCGCUCUGCUCUCCUCGCCCCGUGUGCCGCCAGCUCAGCCGGAGCUGCCAGCUCUCCGUGCAGCGCGGCUUGCGGUGCCGGGCGGUGCCGGCUCGGUGUUUGGCGUCAGGUGACGUUUUUUGCCUCUUUCCUCUUCCUCGUGGUUCCCGGGCGGCGGCGCGAGGCCCCUCCGCUACCACGGGGUUAAGAAAAGUAAGGCGAUUUCAGCCAAAAAAAAAAAAAAAAAAAAAAAGGAAAAAAAAAAAUUCUCUCUAUUUAUAUAUAUAUAUAUAUAUAUAUAAUCCUCUUCGAAAAGGAGAGGUACCGCCCGCGUCGGCGCGAGAACCAGGGUGGCUGGCGGCAGCCGAGCAACAGAAAAGUUCGUGAGCACCGAAGCGAGGGGACGCGGCGCCGCUCCGCGCGGACAAACACAGCGGCAAUACAGCAGGACAUCACGGGGACAGCUGCCACGGAACCGAUACAGUACAGUGUGCGGCGCGGACACGCGGGGGAUAUUGCUCCCGGGAGGAUUUCGGAAACCCAGUCCUUUGCGAUGGGGGGGGGAGAGUUAAAAACAGGAAAACGGAAGAGUCCUGGUUAAAAACUCCCUUCUAAAGGGCGGCGGGGGCUGCGUGGGAACGGCCCCGCUGGGAAGAGCCGGCACCGGGCGCGCCCGGCAACUGCCAAUAAAUACGGAGCCGGCACAGAGCGGGGCCGCGAG